rnacentral:rRNA from 1 species
UACGUAGGGUGCGAGCGUUGUCCGGAAUUAUUGGGCGUAAAGAGCUCGUAGGCGGUCUGUCGCGUCGAAUGUGAAAACCCGGGGCUCAACUCCGGGCUUGCAUUCGAUACGGGCGGGCUAGAGUUCGGUAGGGGAGACUGGAAUUCCUGGUGUAGCGGUGAAAUGCGCAGAUAUCAGGAGGAACACCGGUGGCGAAGGCGGGUCUCUGGGCCGAUACUGACGCUGAGGAGCGAAAGCGUGGGGAGCGAACAGG